CCCGCCGUAGUUCAAUGGAUAGAACGGGCGCCUCCUCAGCGCCAGAUACAGGUUCGAUUCCUGUCGGAGGGACCA
rnacentral:tRNA from 1 species